UACAGAGGUCCCGAGCGUUGUUCGGAUUCAUUGGGCGUAAAGGGUGCGUAGGUGGCGCCGUAAGUCGGGUGUGAAAUUUCGGAGCUUAACUCCGAAACUGCAUUCGAUACUGGCGUGCUUGAGGACUGGAGAGGAGACUGGAAUUCAUGGUGUAGCAGUGAAAUGCGUAGAGAUCAUGAGGAAGACCAGUGGCGAAGGCGGGUCUCUGGACAGUUCCUGACACUGAGACACGAAGGCCAGGGGAGCAAACGGG
rnacentral:rRNA from 1 species